rnacentral:rRNA from 1 species
AGGCUUAACACAUGCAAGUCGAGCGGACGUAGCAAUACGUCAGCGGCAGACGGGUGAGUAACGCGUGGGAACGUACCUUUUGGUUCGGAACAACACAGGGAAACUUGUGCUAAUACCGGAUAAGCCCUUACGGGGAAAGAUUUAUCGCCGAAAGAUCGGCCCGCGUCUGAUUAGCUAGUUGGUGAGGUAACGGCUCACCAAGGCGACGAUCAGUAGCUGGUCUGAGAGGAUGAUCAGCCACAUUGGGACUGAGACACGGCCCAAACUCCUACGGGAGGCAGCAGUGGGGAAUUUUGCGCAAUGGGGGAAACCCUGACGCAGCAACGCCGCGUGGAGGAUGAAGUCCCUUGGGACGUAAACUCCUUUCGAUCGGGACGAUUAUGACGGUACCGGAAGAAGAAGCCCCGGCUAACUUCGUGCCAGCAGCCGCGGUAAU